rnacentral:rRNA from 1 species
AUGCUAGCCAACAUCCAAGCCCGCCUGAGCCUCCUCGACCGUCUCGCCUUCGACGCCGCCUUCGGCAAGCAGGAGGCGCCGUGGCUCGUCCUGCCGGGCGACUGCCCGGAGACUGCCACGCUCUUCUCGCUCGCCGACCGCCGCUCCGCCCUCGUGUGCGCCCUGGACCCCGACCCCGUCGUUCUGGGAUCCUCCUCCUUCCACGGGUGGCUCGUCACCGCGGACGAUCGGGCCCGGCUGCGCCUCGUGAACACGGUCACCGGCGAGCGGCGCGUGCUUCCGGCCAUCGACACCAUCCCCUGCGUCAACGCCCGAACUCAACCUGGGGGCUCCAUCUUCUCGCUCGACCUGAAGCGGUUCAUCAGGGCUCCCCCGCCGUACCCGGACGGAACCGUGUCGUUGACCCCCCAAGGGAUGCGCCACCGCUUCUACCGCAAGGUCGUCCUCUCCGACUCCUCCACCAUCGCCAUGCUGAUCACCGAUCCACGCUACGGCGCCGUGGCAUUUGCGACAGCGGAGGGCUGUGCAUGGAGGCUGGCGCCCUCGCGCGGUCGCGCCACGGCAUUGCGGAGGUCGGAUCGGAGAGUGUCACGUGGCCGAUGGGACCCUCGCGCCACGGCAUUGAGGACGCCGUCUACCACGCGGGCAGGUUCUACUCGAUCACCUGCUCCGGCGAGGUGGAGACAUGGGAGCAGGACGCCGACGUCCCCAGCGUGUUCACCAGCACGGUGGUCGAUCCAGGGUUGCUGCUGCCGCCGCUGCCCACCAGUCUGGAGCGCCGCAAGUACGUCGUGGUGGCGCCGGGAGGACGGCUGA